GACGAACGCUGGCGGCGUGCUUAACACAUGCAAGUCGAACGGAAAGGCCCUGCUUUUGUGGGGUGCUCGAGUGGCGAACGGGUGAGUAACACGUGAGUAACCUGCCCUUGACUUUGGGAUAACUUCAGGAAACUGGGGCUAAUACCGGAUAGGAGCUCCUGCUGCAUGGUGGGGGUUGGAAAGUUUCGGCGGUUGGGGAUGGACUCGCGGCUUAUCAGCUUGUUGGUGGGGUAGUGGCUUACCAAGGCUUUGACGGGUAGCCGGCCUGAGAGGGUGACCGGCCACAUUGGGACUGAGAUACGGCCCAGACUCCUACGGGAGGCAGCAGUGGGGAAUAUUGCACAAUGGGCGGAAGCCGGAUGCAGAAACGCCGCGUGCGGGAUGACGGCCUUCGGGUUGUAAACCGCUUUCGCCUGUGACGAAGCGUGAGUGACGGUAAUGGGUAAAGAAGCACCGGCUAACUACGUG
rnacentral:rRNA from 1 species